GCGGGUCUGCAGACAGCAUUCGAUUCUGCUGCAGCUUUCCAAAUGUGGAUUGGAGGUUACAGAGGAUGAGCGGAAAAAAUUCACAGAAUAUGAAGUCGAUGGGGAAACAGUCAAUGAUGGCCUGACAGACCAUAUGAUUUCCCAGCUCUUUGAGGGUUCCUUCAAAAAGCAGGUCAAAUUUAUGAAAGUCAUCCAAGAGCUAAAGACAGACAUUUGCAACAGUGUUGUGGCUCCAGCUACAGUGUCUGAGUCAAGUUGUGCUCAAAGUCCACAAGUGUCACAAAGAUAUUCCCAGUGUCUUUGUUGUGCCAAAAUUCCCCAAGAGCAUACAGACUAAAUUGGACAGUAAAGAACCAUGCCAUAAAACUGGAUUUUAUCGCACCAAAAUAGUUGGUGUCCUUCAAGAAACCAUGGCUCAGUACACAAUGUAUCCUUCAGGUGAAGAUUAUGUGAAGGUUGCCAAGGCACUUGUUACCAAAUACCCUUUUUUGAAGGAUAUAGAAGGGAAUGGAUAUCACACCUGGCACAUGUCAUUGAAAAGGAAGUUCAAAACUGAACGUUCACCACUCGUGGAUGAAGAAGAAGUCAAACAAUUCAAAGCAAAAUUUGGUCAUCGCAAAGGCAAGUCCAAAGAGGCACCAACCCAGACUACGUGUGAAAGAAGACGUGAAAUGAGAAAUGAGUCUGAAGAAGGUCCUAUUGGCAAG